rnacentral:lncRNA from 1 species
GACCUUCACUAGGCGUUGUACAAGGUUCCAGCGGCACGGUUCCUAUUGUAGUUGGACAAAUUUAUUUUUUGACAUGCUAUCUUCAUUGAUCGCAGUACUCCUCAUUUUAUGGUUGCAUCGCUUCUUUGGACAAUAUUCAGCAUUAAGCUUAGGUUCUUGUAGAAUAGAUAAAUAAACUUUGUGGUAAGUUACUGGUUGAUUAUUGAUAACCUUGAGAAUUAGACUGAUGGUUAGGCAGUUUAGUUGGUAACAAUAGGUUGUUAGUGGAAUAAAUGGUUAAGAAUUCAAAAGGUCAUAACUUUUGGAAUCUGCUGGCCGACGGUCCAUCUUUUGGUAGGACCUAUCUCAGUCUAACCUUUAGUUUAUAACUCAUAUUAUAAUCCAUAGAAAAAUUAGCUAAUAAGUGCAGCAUCAUCCCAUUUAAUAUCAGUUAUAAGUUGUCAAAAUUGUGAAGCAAACAACAUUACUGAUCGAUUGCCUUGUCGUAAAAUAUGGAU